CCUUGAAGCCUACCUCAAUCCUUCCUUGAGUCCCUAGAGUAUUUACAAGUGCUUAUUUUGUCCGUUCUCUAAUGAAAAAUAUUUUUGUAAUUAAGUGACUUUUGUGUAUAUCUAUUUGAUGACCCUUUGUUGGUCUUAGUUGUAUAAAAACACAUCCUAUAGAUGGGAGUGGUGUUACCAGAUAUAUGAGUAACAAACAAGUUGUAGACAUUUUCACUAAAACACUCUCAAGCCCUCUUCUCAACCAACAAAUAACCAAGAUGAG
rnacentral:lncRNA from 1 species